rnacentral:rRNA from 1 species
UGGGGAAUAUUGGACAAUGGGCGAAAGCCUGAUCCAGCCAUGCCGCGUGUGUGAAGAAGGUCUUCGGAUUGUAAAGCACUUUAAGUUGGGAGGAAGGGCAGUAAGCGAAUACCUUGCUGUUUUGACGUUACCGACAGAAUAAGCACCGGCUAACUCUGUGCCAGCAGCCGCGGUAAUACAGAGGGUGCAAGCGUUAAUCGGAAUUACUGGGCGUAAAGCGCGCGUAGGUGGUUCGUUAAGUUGAAUGUGAAAGCCCCGGGCUCAACCUGGGAACUUCAUCCAAAACUGGCGAGCUAGAGUAGGGCAGGGGGUGGUGGAAUUUCCUGUGUAGCGGUGAAAUGCGUAGAUAUUGGAGGGAACACCAGUGGCGAAGGCGACCACCUGGGCUCAUACUGACACUGAGGUGCGAAAGCGUGGGGAGCAAACAGG